GCGAUUCAUUACCAAUACUUAGAUUGAAUAACCACGAUGACAACCUCGUAGUGCGAAACGAAUGCGAUUGGUCUAGAGUGGUUAGUAGCUCGAGCAAGUGAUUAAGACGUCCGCCGCGGCGCGCCGUACAGAUCGCGUCACUGUAGACGCGCGACCUCGUUCGCAUCUCUGACGCGUUCACAUUCAUGCACUUUCGAUACUUUCGGCGCGCUAAUGAACUUUUGGUGUACGUGAUUGACAGCGUGCACGUCUGCGAUCUUUUCAUGCCGAGUAACUACCAUGGGCACAACGCCCCGUAUUCCAUACGUCUUUCGCUUGUGUCCUGUGAGUCUCCUGCGGAAAUAAGUAUUAGAGUGCCGAAAACAACGACGUGCGGUCGUCAGGACAUGUCAACUCAGACAACGAAAGUCCGAGCGGAUACUUUUAUCGAGCUGCUGAACUCUUGAGAAAAUAUCGGCAGCUUUCGUUCUGUCACAGGGGAAAGAUCGGUAACUAAGUCUCGUCACUUGUACAGAUUCGUAAAUAUAUCUCCGCUUUCUCGAAAUUAUCAUAUGUGUAUAUAGUACUAGACCUUAAUUUCACUUGUGCGAAGCGCACGAUUGAAAAUUAUUUUCUUACGUUUUCGACUUUCCAAAAAUAGAAAAUUUUGUACGAUAAAAUGAAGCGUUAUAUUUUUCAUCUGUAUUUCUCAAUUUGUUCUUAACUUUAUCUUUAUUUACAUCUUUAUUUAAAUUUUUGCUUAGUUUUAAGCAUUCCUUAACUCUGUUAGAUUCCCUCAACGUUCGCUUUAUCUAUACAAUAUUAUAUAAUAUUAAAUAACAUAUAUAUGAUGUUUUAUAUUGUGUGCGCUUCCCUCUUGUGCUUUGUACAUUACGCAUUGCUCUUUUCGUAAUAUCGGACAAAUUCUUUAUUGAAAAUUCAAAUUAAUGAUUGGAUAUGACUAGUAAGUGACAAAACGUUGCUGAUCCUUGCUCCAUGUAUAUCACGACACUCAGACUGCCAAUCUGUAUUGAAUUUAAGGGCAAAUUGUGAGAGUCGCGAGAGCCUAAGGCUACGGAUACGCGAAAUCUAAAGCAAACACCAAGUAUAUCUCUAUAUUAAUUCACAAAAUAUCUUUGUGGAAAAACAAAUAACGCGUGGUCGCAGGGACUUUCGCUUUUAUCAGUACUUCGGAUCCGAGGUUUCACAUUGACAAUUUCAUUAACGCUUAUAGCGUAAUAUUAAAAUUCGUAGCUAAAAUUAUUUAUUUUAUUUCGAAGAUUUUAACAAGGCUAAUUGCAAUUAUUAUACCUUUACAACUUUGGUCUUACUUUUACAUAAAGAUAUAAAACAGUAAAAGAUCGGAUCCAAAGUAUGAUACGUAUAAACGAGGGUGCCAAAAAUUCUUAAGAAAACCGUUUGGCCUACUAACGUAAACAGCCCCUAAUUUCCGACGAAUAAACGCAGUUACGUACGAUUGUUAAUAACGCGUUGACCAACAAAAGUUUAUAAAUAUUGUUGGAAAGCAAUUUAAGGAAGCUUGUUUGACCAACUUCUAAAUGGGCGGUUACUUCCGUACUAUUUAAUUCAACUUGUCGAGUGCGGUUGCACAAUACGAAAUUACAGUAACAAUUCCGGCAGCUUUGAACACACCCGAAGCUUGAAUUACAAGUUUCAGGAUGCCCAGAACUUUGACGCAAGUCGUAUAAUUGAGCAUGACACGUAGAAAUAAUGCGACACAGGGAGGAAAUAAUAAAAGUCCUGGGCACAAUUGUUUAUAUGGAACUCAAAUUUUACAUGUUGUACGUUUAUAUGGCGAUAAGUAUCGUGAAAUAAAAGCACUUGACGUGUGUGUAUGUAAAUUUAUAGUUAAAAUUUAACGUUUAUUUACGAAAUAUACAGGGUGUUUCAGACUUA